rnacentral:rRNA from 1 species
AUUGAACGCUGGCGGCAUGCUUUACACAUGCAAGUCGAGCGGCAGCGCGGGGGCAACCCUGGCGGCGAGCGACGAACGGGUGAGUAAUGCAUCGGAACGUAUCCUCGAGUGGGGGAUAACCCAGCGAAAGUUGGGCUAAUACCGCAUGAGCUCUGAGGAGGAAAGCGGGGGACCUGCGAGGGCCUCGCGCUGGAGGAGCGGCCGAUGUCCGAUUAGCUAGUUGGUGGGGUAAAGGCUUACCAAGGCGACGAUCGGUAGCUGGUCUGAGAGGAUGAUCAGCCACACUGGGACUGAGACACGGCCCAGACUCCUACGGGAGGCAGCAGUGGGGAAUUUUGGACAAUGGGGGCAACCCUGAUCCAGCCAUGCCGCGUGAGUGAAGAAGGCCUUCGGGUUGUAAAGCUCUUUCGGACGGAACGAAAUGGGCGGGACUAAUACUCCUGUCUGAUGACGGUACCGUAAGAAGAAGCACCGGCUAACUACGUG